rnacentral:rRNA from 1 species
UAAAGAGUUCUAUAACUCCCAAACCCAUGUGAACAUACCUAACGUUGCCUCGGCAGGUCGCACCUACCUUGUAGCACCCUACCCUGUAGGGCCUACCCGGGAGGUGCGGGUAAGCCUGCCGGCGGCCCACCAAACUCUGUUUGAUAUUGAAUUCUGAACCUAUAACUAAAUAAGUUAAAACUUUCAACAACGGAUCUCUUGGUUCUGGCAUCGAUGAAGAACGCAGCGAAAUGCGAUAAGUAAUGUGAAUUGCAGAAUUCAGUGAAUCAUCGAAUCUUUGAACGCAUAUUGCGCCCAUUAGUAUUCUAGUGGGCAGGACCGUUCGAGCGUCAUUUCAACCCUUAAGCCUUCGUUGCUUAGUGUUGGGAGCCUACGGCAACGUAGCUCCUCAAAGUUAGUGGCGGAGUUGGUUCACACUCUAGACGUAGUAAUUUUUUAUCUCGCCUAUUAGUUGGACUAAUCCCCUGCCGUAAAACCCCCAAUUUAUCAAGGUUGACCUCGAAUCGGUUCAGACAAACUCGCUAAAUUGAAGCAUCUUAGUCAGCGAAGGAAAAGAAACCAACAGGGAUUGCCCUAGUAACGGCGAGUGAAGCGGCAACAGCUCAAAUUUGAAAUC